AGUCGAACGGCAGCACGGGUGCUUGCACCUGGUGGCGAGUGGCGAACGGGUGAGUAAUACAUCGGAACAUGUCCUGUAGUGGGGGAUAGCCCGGCGAAAGCCGGAUUAAUACCGCAUACGAUCUACGGAUGAAAGCGGGGGACCUUCGGGCCUCGCGCUAUAGGGUUGGCCGAUGGCUGAUUAGCUAGUUGGUGGGGUAAAGGCCUACCAAGGCGACGAUCAGUAGCUGGUCUGAGAGGACGACCAGCCACACUGGGACUGAGACACGGCCCAGACUCCUACGGGAGGCAGCAGUGGGGAAUUUUGGACAAUGGGCGAAAGCCUGAUCCAGCAAUGCCGCGUGUGUGAAGAAGGCCUUCGGGUUGUAAAGCACUUUUGUCCGGAAAGAAAUCCCUGGCUCUAAUACAGUCGGGGGAUGACGGUACCGGAAGAAUAAGCACCGGCUAACUACGUGCCAGCA
rnacentral:rRNA from 1 species